rnacentral:tRNA from 1 species
UCCCUGGUGGUCUAAUGGUUAUGAUUCAGUGCUUCUACCACUGCAGCACAGGUUCAAUCCCUGGUCUGGGAA